rfam:Schistosoma mansoni strain Puerto Rico chromosome W, complete genome
AUCCAGCUGACCAGUCCCAAAUAGGACGAAACGCGCGUCCUGGAU